rnacentral:rRNA from 1 species
CGGUGCCUAAUACAUGCAAGUCGAACGCAUUGUGGUUGAAAUGAUAUGAAGAACUUGUUCAGAUUUGAUUUUCAACAUUGCAAUGAGUGGCGAACGGGUGAGUAACACGUGGGAAACCUACCUCUUAGCAGGGGAUAACAUUUGGAAACAAAUGCUAAUACCGUAUAAUAAUUAAAACCGCAUGGUUUUAGUUUAAAAGAUGGUCUUGCUAUCACUAAGAGAUGGUCCCGCGGUGUAUUAGUUAGUUGGUGAGGUAAUGGCUCACCAAGACAAUGAUACAUAGCCGAGUUGAGAGACUGACCGGCCACAAUGGGACUGAGACACGGCCCAUACUCCUACAGGAGGCAGCAGUAGGGAAUCUUCCACAAUGGACGAAAGUCUGAUGGAGCAACGCCGCGUGUGUGAUGAAGGGUUUCGGCUCGUAAAACACUGUUGUAAGAGAAGAAUGACAUUGAGAGUAACUGUUCAAUGUGUGACGGUAUCUUACCAGAAAGGAACGGCUAAAUACGUG